rnacentral:rRNA from 12 species
AACCCUAGUGAUGGAUGUCUAGGCUCCCGUAUCGAUGAAGAACGUAGCAGAAAGCGACAUGCGAUGAUACGCGCAUAGACCAGGAUUCCGCGGACUCGUGAAUCAUUGAAUCUUCGAACGCAUCUGGCGCUCAGCAGUGGAGCCGUAGCAGGCUGAGCAUGCCCUGGAGUAGUGACA